CGCUUUGUCUGUUAGCUUCUCUAGGAGUACAUGAGGCCCCAUCUCUUCCUUGUUUCAUAGAAAUACGGUCACUGCAGAAGUAUAUCUUCCUGCCCACAUUCUGUCUUCUGUGGAUGUCCAGAGUGGAGAGCAGCAAGUCCCUCAGACCUCGCAGUCUUUGCCAUAGCUAAUCGAUUCUGUCAUUCAGAGUGAUAACAGCCAUAAGGAAUUGGAAUUGUUUCCGGGGUUUUGAACAUGCUGGGCAAAUCACCCUACAACUGAGCCAGUUUUCACUGAUUUCUUUUCAACACCUUAGAAAUGGUGUGCAGUUCUUAGUUGUACAGCUGUACAAAAGUAGACAGAUGAUGACUGCCUUCAGUAGACUCCAUGUUGGCUAUCCCCAACUGUGGAGUACCAUCCUGUCUCUGACAGCUUUGCUUUAGGCUUUCUUUACAGGGUAAGAGACAUUUCUGUGUUGGUCAGGAUGAAGCUGCCUGUGACUCAGCAGAACUGAGCCCUGAGAGGCAGAAAUUCAAUGCAGCACCUGUCAGGGAUGCUCCACCCCACAUGAACCAUCAAGAACAAUCCUGUCAGGGCUUUGGAUGGUCCUCCGGCUUCUCUGGCUUUCUACCCAAGGUUCAAAGUUAUAACUAUCCUUGAGGAUCUUCCUCUGUCUACUAGAACCUAGAGGUUGGAAAUAAAGUAUUGAGAAUUUACUUGUAAAUAUUCAUGGUCAUGAGUCUGGCUCAAGUCCUCUGGCCUCUGCUCCAUCAUCAAUACUGGAUCAGCCUCCUCUUGGAUGUCCUGUUGUUUCCCUGUGUCAUGGAGAUCCUGCAGCUUUGGAUCCACAGGACCAGCCUCUUCAUGCUCUCCAGCAGUUCAUAGAUGAGGUAGAUGUUGCAGUGGACCAACUCAGAGCCCUGGAUAUUAUAAGCCUGCUUGGUUAUAUUCCCUCACGUGUGCACAUGCAUCUGCCACACAGAAACACACACCAAAUACUACAGAAAAGGGUUGCUUUGGAUCUAUUUAGACUUCUCAGUAUUUCCGUACUAUCCAAUAUACAAUAAAGAUUGUGCAAAAUCA